ensembl:snRNA U2 U2 spliceosomal RNA
AUUACUUCUCGACCUUUUGGCUAAGAUCAAGUGUAGUUUCUGUUCUUAUCAGUUUAAUACCUGAUAUGCCCUAUAUCCAAGAACAAUAUAUUAAGUGGAUUUUUGGAGAAAGGAGACGGAAUAGCAGCUUGCCCCAUCCACUCUGCACAUAAACCAGAUAUUGUGGUAUUUCAGGAACAGUUCACUCCCU